AUUGAACGCUGGCGGCAUGCCUUACACAUGCAAGUCGAACGGCAACACGUCUACAGAUUCUGCCUACGGGCGGCCGGUGGCGUAAGGCUGCGGAACGUACCCAAACCUACUUUUUCCUGGGGGAUAACGUUGGUAAAAUUCCGCUCAUACCGCAGACGACCUCAGGGUGCCACCAGGAGUUGUUCGUUUCUUGCGGCCGUGGAUGAGCCGAUGUCGGAUUAGCUAGUUGGCGGGGUAAAGGCUCACCAAGGCGACGAUCCGUAGCUGGUCUGAGAGGAUGAUCAGCCACACUGGAACUGAGACACGGCCCAGACUCCUACGGGAGGCAGCAGUGGGGAAUUUUGGACAAUGGGCGAAAGCCUGAUCCAGCCAUGCCGCGUGGGGGAUGAAGGCCUUCGGGUUGUAAAGCGCUUUUGUUGGGAAAGAAAGGCAGCAGGUUAAUACCUCGCGGAUCUGACGGUACCGAAAGAAUAAGCACCGGCUAACUACGUG
rnacentral:rRNA from 1 species